AGGAUAAACGCUGGCGGCGUGCCUAACACAUGCAAGUCGAACGCGCUUUCGGGCUUCGGUGCGAGAGCGAGUGGCGGACGGGUGAGUAACACAUGGGUACCUACCUUGGAGUGAGGGAUACCGGCGAGAAAUCGCCGACAAUACCGCAUAGGCUUCUUCACAAGGGAAGCAAAGUGACGCGAGUCACGCUUUGAGAUGGGCCUGUGGCCGAUUAGCUAGUUGUGGGGGUAACGGCUUCCCAAGGCGACGAUCGGUAGCUGGUCUGAGAGGACGAUCAGCCACACUGGGAUUGAGAACGGCCCAGACUCCUACGGGGGGCAGCAGUGAGGAAUUUUCCGCAAUGGAGGCAACUCUGACGGAGCAACGCCGCGUGCAGGAGGAAGGUUUUCGGAUCGUAAACUGCUUUUCUCGGGGACGAGCAAGGACGGUACCCGAGGAAGAAGCCCCGGCUAACUACGUGCCAGCAGCCGC
rnacentral:rRNA from 1 species